rnacentral:lncRNA from 1 species
GAGAGAGAGAGAGGAGGGAUUUGGUUGGCUUGAUACACGCCUGAAGCCACUCUUAUCUUUAAUCCCUUCUCUUUUUUGGUUUUGGUCUUGGUUUUCCAUCCCUCAACAUUACUCCUGAUCCAGCUGGGCCAUCAGGAAGAAAGGGGGAUUGGAAAUGGACUUCUUGGAGGGUGGAGAUUCUUUUAAUUUUCUCCUCUCGGUUUCUUCUCCCCUCUUGGGUGGUAGAGAGAGAAAAGGAGGGAGGGGGG